GCGAGAUUCAGAUCGCCUCAGUAUGUGCAAACUUGGGACUACACCCUAAAGCUUGCAAGACGAUAACAGGCGGAAUAGAGUAACUUCAGUGGGAGACUUGGAAUUCCCGGGUGUAGCGGUGAAAAUGCGCAGAAUAUCAAGAAGGAAACACCAGUGGCGAAAGGCGGGUCUCUGAGAAAGUAACUGACGAUGAGAAAGCGAAAAGCAUGGGGUAGCAAAACAGGAUUAGAUACCCUGGUAGUCCAUACCGUAAACGGGUGGGUACUAGGUGUGGGGCUCCUUCCACGGACUCCGUGCCGUAGCUAACGCAUUAAGUACCCCGCCUGGGGAGUACGGCCGCAAGGCUAAAACUCAAAGAAAUUGACGGGGGCCCGCACAAGCGGCGGAGCAUGUGGAUUAAUUCGAUGCAACGCGAAGAACCUUACCUGGGUUUGACAUACACCGGAAACCUGCAGAGAUGUAGGCCCCCUUGUGGUCGGUGUACAGGUGGUGCAUGGCUGUCGUCAGCUCGUGUCGUGAGAUGUUGGGUUAAGUCCCGCAACGAGCGCAACCCUUAUCUUAUGUUGCCAGCGCGUAAUGGCGGGGACUCGUGAGAGACUGCCGGGGUCAACUCGGAGGAAGGUGGGGACGACGUCAAGUCAUCAUGCCCCUUAUGUCCAGGGCUUCACACAUGCUACAAUGGCCGGUACAGAGGGCUGCGAUACCGCGAGGUGGAGCGAAUCCCUUAAAGCCGGUCUCAGUUCGGAUCGGGGUCUGCAACUCGACCCCGUGAAGUUGGAGUCGCUAGUAAUCGCAGAUCAGCAACGCUGCGGUGAAUACGUUCCCGGGCCUUGUACACACCGCCCGUCACGUCAUGAAAGUCGGUAACACCCGAAGCCGGUGGCCUAACCCCUUGUGGGAGGGAGCCGUCGAAGGUGAAUCGGGC
rnacentral:rRNA from 1 species